GUGAGGUGUGGCUGAUUUGAUGUUUACUUGUAUUGCAGAGAAGCAAGGCAUUAACUGGAGCUGACACAGGAAAGAUUUGAUGAGGAAGCUUCCUAAGUUCAUAUAUGAUGAGGAUAAAGCUUUGGAGAGGACCCGCCAAGUUCUUACUGACACAGCUGAACUCUGCUAUAGAUGAGGUUUCCGCUCAGCUGCAUCCAGAAGAUGCCCCCAGUGGAAUUGCAGUGGCUUCUGAUGAGAUCCAAGCUUCCAUACAAGAAAAUGUCUGUCGAAAUCUCAAUGCAAGCUUCUAUUUUUACUUGCGAUCAGCAUUAUAGCUCGAAACAUCUUAUUCUCUAUUGGUUUGUUUCUGUGAAAUCUUUUCAGCUCUUUAUUUUUUUUGUGGUUGAAUUUAGUUUGCUUUAAACAAUAUCCAUAAUCAGAUACUCAUUGUCGCUGCA